AUUCAGAUAGCCAGAUGAAAAGAAAAAAGAGGGGAAAUGCAAAAAUUAAAGGCACUUUCUUUUUCAUGGAGACCUCCUCCUCCUUUCUCUGCUGUGCCUGCUCCCUCUGCUUCCCCUGCAUGUCCUUAUCCUUCUUUGCUUCUAACUGACUGUAGUGGCUCCCAGGCAAGGGGGAGGUGAUGAUCUUUUAGAGAAUAGAUUUCCCUGUAAAGGGAGAUGAAGGUACAACUUUCUACAACUACCUGCUCUAUUUGAGGAUACAAGUUUGCCUGGUGGCCUAGCCCUGAGUCUACUUUAUGUUUUAGACCAGAUUCCACCUCCAGGAGGUCUUAUCAUCUACAUACCACACAACACACAACUAGAAAGGCAGAAAUAAUAAAGAGACAUUAUCAUGGGAUGAUUGAGAACUUGGAUAAAAGACUGUGCUGUGGUUUGAAUGUGUCCUCCAAAUUUCAUGUGUUGGAAACUUAAUCCCCAAAUUCGUAUUUGAUAGUAUUUGGAGGUGGGGCCUUUGGGAGGCAGUUAGGAUUAGAUAAUUUCAGUAGAGUAGGGCCCCCAUGAUGGGACUGGUGGCUUUAUAAGAAGAGGAAGAGAGACCUUAGCUGACAUGCUGUUACUCUUUUGCUAUGUGAUACCUUCCAGCACGUUAUGUCACAGCAAGAAGGCCCUCACUAGAUGCUGGCUCCUUGAUGUACUUCCCAGCCUCCAGAAUCAUAAGUUUACAGCCCCAUGUGUGGAGAUGUGUACUGGCUACUGCAUGGAAUUUUGCAAUGAGCAGACUUUGAUCCUUUGAUGGAGCAAGGAUGUUGGUGCCCAGAAGAUUACCACAUCAGGGGUAUAGUGGCCAAGAGAAGUUGACUAUCCACCAUCCCCCACAAAUAUGGAUAAUCUGAGGAUAGAGGUUCCUUGAAACCUUUCUUGUAAAGAGGAACUGGAAGAUAUUGCAGAUGUUCACUCAUACGACAGAGAUAGGUCCUUUGACUAAGGAACAUGUGUUCUUCAUUUCUCCUGAAUCUCCUAUAAACCUACUGGUGAGAGACCUGCUGUGCAACUUAAUAGCUACUGGAUUCUGUACUGUGGAUGAAGUGUCUGUGGAGCCUUUUGGGAAAAGCCACCUGAUUUGGAUACUAUAUACUUCUGAAAGAAAAGAGGUAUGGCAAAGAGUGGCAGUCUCAUACUGUGCUGGAAAAGUCCCCAUAAGCUGAAACAAGUCACCUAAAUGUGAAGUAAAAAACUAUAAAUCUUUUAGAAUAAAACACAGGAGAAAAUCUUCAUGAGCUUAGGUUAGACAAAGAUUCUUAGAUACAACACCAAAAGCAUGACCCAUAAUAGAAAAAAUAAAUAAACUGAACUUCAUAAAAAAUGAAAAAAAAAUUGCAUUUCAAACUAUUCCAUUGAGGAAAUGAGAAGACAAGCCACAGACUGGGAGAAAAUAUUUGCAAAUCAUAUAUCUGAUAAAGGACUUGUAUCCAGAAUGCAUUAAGAACUCUGACAACUCAAUCAUAAUAAUGAUAAUAAUAGUCAGACAACUGAAUUUAAAAGUAAACAAAAGACUUGAAGGAGCAUUUAAUCAAAGGGAAUGACAAUAUUGGAUUAAUUUGAGAUAUAAAAAAUAGCUUAACAAAAAGAUGAGCCAUGGCUAUGUGUCAACAAUAUCCUUUGUUGAGAGCUCAAUUAAACAUAAUAAAACCAGUUAUAAAAGAAUGAGAAAAACAUGUAAUCCCCAUGCUUUGGAAGGCCAAGUUAGGAGGAUCAGUUGAGGUUAGGAGUUUGAGACCAGUCUGGGCAACAUAGUGAGACCUCGUCUCUACAAAAAAUAAAAAUAAAAAAAAAUUAGCCGGGCGUGAUGGCAGGUGCCUGUAGUCCUAGCUACUUGGGAGGCUGAGAUGGGAGGAUCACCUGAACCUUGGAGUUUGAGGUUACAGUGAGCCAUGAUCACAUCACUGCACUCAAGCCUGGGUAACAGAAUGAGACCCUGUCUCAAACAAACAAACAAACAAACAAACAAAAACAAAGGAUAAUUUAGAAGGGGUACUUACCCUGUAGUAAUCCCAUAUUUCCAGUAAAGAAGAAAGGUAAAUUUGAUAAAGGUGGGUAAGCUCUGUAUAGAUUUGUACUGAUUUUAGAGAAGUAAAUUAAUUUGUUUUCCCGUUAACACCUGUAGUUACUAAUCCUUCAUCUAUUCUGAUGUCAGUAUCGUCUGAUUUUUGUUUUUCUACGCUCUGCCCUCCCUUCCUCUCUCUCUCCCUCCCUCCCUCUCUCCUUCCCUUCCUCCCUUCUUUCCUUCCUUCCCUCCUUCCCUUCUUCCCUUUUUUCCUUCCUUCUUUUGUUCCUUCCCCCUCUUUCUUUUCUUGUAAGUGGACAAGUCUAAAUUCUUAUUUGCUCAUAAAGGAGUCUGAUGCUUAUGGCAGACAAUUCCUCAAGGGUUUUGAGACUCCCCCUACUGUUUUAUCUAGUCAUUUACAGAAACACUUAGAGAAAUUUGUUUCACCAGAAGGAUCUAUAAUUUUUCAAAAUAUAGAUGAUUUUGCUGGUAGCUUCAGAAACUAAGGAGCAAUGCAAAACGAACACUUUGACUUUGUUACAAUUCUUUGCUUCACAAGGGCAUAAGGCCUCACUAGAUAAAUUGCAACAUUGCUUUUCUGAGUAAACUAUUUAAGGCAUCUGUGUUCAGCUGUGGGUCUUAGAGUGGUACAAUCUAAGAGUCAUCUCAUUUUGCAGAUCUAACAGCCAAAUGUAGUGCUGUGGUUGGAAUGUUUAUGUCUCAUUCUCUCCCCAAUUCGUAUGUUGAACCCUAAUCUCCAAUGUGAUGGUAUUAGAAAUAGGGCCUUAGGAGGUGAUUAGGGUGUUGCCCUAAUGAAUGGGAUGAAUGCCAUUAUAAAAAAAGGCCUCAGAGAGCUUCCUGGCUCCUUCCAUCAUGUUAGGAUGCAACCAGAAGGCACCAUCUAUGAGGAAGUGAAUCCUUACCAGACACUGAAUUUACCAGCAUCUUGAUCUUGUACUUUCUAGCCUCCCAAAAUGUGAUUAAUAAAUGCCUGUUGUUUGUAAGCUACCCAGUUUAUGGUAUUUUGUUAUAACAGCCCAAAUGGACUGAGACACAGUUUUGGUACUAAUGCGGUAUUAAAGAGAGUAGAUUCCAGGUUUUGCAGAGUGGGCAAAACCUCUGAUGGAGCAACUCCAUGAUAAUCCUUCAGAUCUUCUGGUUUGGUUCCUAGAAUCUGAAGAGGCUUUUGAACAGCAGAAAUUGGUGAUAGCCUCUCUGUUAGCUUUGAAAUG